rnacentral:rRNA from 1 species
UACGAAGGGGGCUAGCGUUGCUCGGAAUCACUGGGCGUAAAGGGCGCGUAGGCGGCGUGGUAAGUCACUUGUGAAAUCUCUGAGCUUAACUCAGAACGGUCAAGUGAUACUGCUGUGCUAGAGUGCGGAAGGGGCAAUCGGAAUUCUUGGUGUAGCGGUGAAAUGCGUAGAUAUCAAGAGGAACACCUGAGGUGAAGACGGGUUGCUGGGCCGACACUGACGCUGAUGCGCGAAAGCCAGGGGAGCAAACGGG